rnacentral:rRNA from 1 species
UACGGAGGAUGCAAGCGUUAUCCGGAAUGAUUGGGCGUAAAGCGUCCGCAGGUGGCUGUGUAAGUCUGCUGUCAAAGAGCGAAGCUCAACUUCGUAAAGGCAGUGGAAACUACACGGCUAGAGUGCGUUCGGGGCAGAGGGAAUUCCCGGUGUAGAGGUGAAAUUCGUAGAUAUCGGGAGGAACACCGGUGGCGAAGGCGGCGGCCUGGGUUGACACUGACGCUGAGGCGCGAAAGCGUGGGGAGCAAACAGG